GCUCAGGAGGCCGGAGCGGACAUCUGCUGUUUUGGCCGGCCGGGCACCCACGCCCCCCUUUCUGGCAAAAGCCCCCUAGUUGCCUCACGAAACCCGACGGACUGUAAUCCAAUGGCCCUGCCCCAAACUCACUGUGUGACCCUGGACAAGAUGGCCGCUCCCUGAGCCUCAGUUUCUCCACCCGCCUAUCCAAGCUGGGCUCCACCGCUGAUAUCCCAUGACCCUUGGCUGCUGUCAUGGAUCAGCUGAGGUGACCUUGGGCUCUCUGGGGCAUGCUUGGGGGAGGGGAGAUGGUAGUUGGGGAAUCCUUGGUUCGACCUCCUGCUGUGUGGCGUGAGGCCGGAAGGAUCAAUGUAUCCGGUCCCCGGGCCCUGCUAAGUCCCAAAUAAAGUCAGCUUUGCACAGCUAA